rnacentral:rRNA from 1 species
UAAAAGGUACUCCGGGGAUAACAGGCUGAUACCGCCCAAGAGUUCAUAUCGACGGCGGUGUUUGGCACCUCGAUGUCGGCUCAUCACAUCCUGGGGCUGAAGUAGGUCCCAAGGGUAUGGCUGUUCGCCAUUUAAAGUGGUACGCGAGCUGGGUUUAGAACGUCGUGAGACAGUUCGGUCCCUAUCUGCCGUGGGCGCUGGAGAACUGAGGGGGGCUGCUCCUAGUACGAGAGGACCGGAGUGGACGCAUCACUGGUGUUCGGGUUGUCAUGCCAAUGGCACUGCCCGGUAGCUAAAUGCGGAAGAGAUAAGUGCUGAAAGCAUCUAAGCACGAAACUUGCCCCGAGAUGAGUUCUCCCUGACUCCUUGAGAGUCCUGAAGGAACGUUGAAGACGACGACGUUGAUAGGCCGGGUGUGUAAGCGCAGCGAUGCGUUGAGCUAACCGGUACUAAUGAACCGUGAGGCUUAACCUUACAACGCCGAAGGUGUUU